GAUGAACGCUGGCGGCAUGCCUAAUACAUGCAAGUCGAACGGUAUCUUUGGAUACAGUGGCGAACGGGUGAGUAACACGUAGGGAACCUGGCCAUACCUGGGGGAUAAUUUCUGGAAACGGAAACUAAUACCGCAUGGGUUUUGCUUAAGCCUUUAAGCGAAAUGAAAGAAGCGCGAGACGCUUCGGGGAUGGAUGGUCCUGCGCUGCAUUAGCUGGCUGGUGAGGCAACGGCUCACCAGGGCGAUGAUGCAUAGCCGGCCUGAGAGGGCGGACGGCCACACUGGGACUGAGACACGGCCCAGACUCCUGCGGGAGGCAGCAGUAGGGAAUUUUCGUCAAUGGGGGCAACCCUGAACGAGCAAUGCCGCGUGAGCGAAGAAGGUCUUCGGAUUGUAAAGCUCUGUUGCCGGGGAAAAAGGAAGGAAAGAGGAAA
rnacentral:rRNA from 1 species